rnacentral:rRNA from 1 species
UUUUAUGUACAUACCUACAACAUAGUGUUAAUUCAUCGAAACCCAUUAGAACUCCGUAGUUAAGCGCACUCGGGCUAGGGUAGAAUUGGGAUGGGUGACCACCCCAAAAUUCCUAGUAUCUUACAUG